UAGGGAAUAUUAGUAAUGGGCGAAAGCCUGAACUAGCAACGCCGCGUGUGCGAAGAAGGCCUUCGGGUUGUAAAGCACUUUUUGAGAGGAUGAGGAAGGACGGUACUCUCAGAAUAAGUCUCGGCUAACUACGUGCCAGCAGCCGCGGUAACACGUAGGAGGCGAACGUUAUCCGGAUUUACUGGGCGUAAAGCGCGUGUAGGUGGUUUGGUAAGUAGGGCGUGAAAGCUCCUGGCUCAACUGGGAGAGGCCGUUCUAAACUGCCGAAAUAGAGGAUGGGAGGGGGAGGGGGAAUAGGGGGGGUAGGGGGGGAAUGCGCAGAUAUCCGGAGGAACACCAGUGGCGAAAGCGGCCUCGUGGACCAUUCCUGACACUCAGACGCGAAAGCUAGGGU
rnacentral:rRNA from 1 species